GGGUAUAGCUCAGUGGUAGAGCAUCUGCUUAGCAUGCAUGAGGUCCUGGGUUCAACCCCCAGUACCACCA
rnacentral:tRNA from 1 species